CAGCAGCAGAUGUACGUUAUUUUAGUUCAUUCUGAGAUAAAGUAAUAAUCUGAUAAGGUUCUGCUCUUCCAAACCAUGUUUCCAUGGAUCUGUCUUGUCCAGUCUUGAGCAACAUUAAAUGUGAAGAACAGGUGAUGAGCAACACCCACUCCAUUCUUAUUUCCAUACUACUGAAGUUUUGUCUUUGAAAGACAUUCCACUAUGGAACCUGUGUGAUUCAGAGACAAUAAGGGACAGUCAAAAAUAAGCUGCCAGGUCUACUAUUGAUCUCAAGGUUGCACGACUAUGUCUCUACAAAUGCUGUGAAAGUGUGAAGAACCAAGCAGGAGCUCUUCCAUCUUCCAUCAGAAGGCCUGAAACACUGCACUAGGAGACCAAAGACAGAGUAACAUCUCUGCGUUUGGAAGAGGAACUACCAUUAUUCUAUGAAUAGAAACAAGAUGACUAAAAAACCCAGAAAUCUGGUGUAACUUAAAAUGGGGCCUAACUUUUGAAGGGAGGGGUAAAAUGCUGGAAGUACUGUAGAACUCAUUUGAAGUUUCAGAAAUCUUUCUCUGCAUUUCCCUUUGAGAAAGAGAACUAGUUAGUCAAACUGGGUGAAGUGCAGUCUGAAGUUAUGUCUGGUUACACCAUGUAGCUGCAUCUCAUAGAACCCUAUAUAAGCGACUGAGAAACUAUGGGGGUUUUGUUCAGUAAUCUUAAGCAGUUACUAAGCUGUUGAAAAAGCCUGUGCUAGUAUUUUUCAUCUUGCCAACACUUCUGAACCAAGUCUAAAAGAUGUGUCUUUGAUAUAAAGAAUUAACAUAUACCCAGUAAACAUGAGACAAGCAGAAACAUCAAUCACUGUACAGCAAAGGAGGCUUUGUUUUGCUUUAGAUGUGCUCUCUUUCAGAAAGUUUGUCUUUCUCAGAAUACCUAUGAAUUGACUAUAGAAACAGUAUAAGAGCAUCCUGCCUUGAAACAAACAGAAGCUUUUCCCUUACAUAACUUAAAAAGAGAUUAAUACUACCAGCACUUGACCCUCCCAUUGACCAAAGAUUAAAUUUCCCUACUGAGUAUGUCUAGAGUGAAAAUAAUACAAUUUAUUUUUUUCCCCAUGAAAUUUUCUAUGCUAUGGCAUACCACUAGUUUGGUCUUCAGGACUGACAUUUCCCUACUAUCUUGCUUGGUUUCCUUGGCUCAGUCUCAAAAAUACGAUAUUUGAAAAGAUGUGUCUUUUAGUUACAAUUAGGGAACUACAAGAAACAAAUAUAUGAUAAUAAAUACUAAUGACUGAAUUUUGAGUUGAGGGAUGGGUUGUUGUU